AGACCGACAUGAGAAGCAUCACAAUAUACCACAAAACUAUCACUACCCUAGGCCAAGGUCAAAUUCAAAGCCGAAGUCAUCUUAUCUUUCAACUUCUCAAAACUACCCUCACACGCAUCGGACUACAAGAACUUGACCUUAUUUUUGUCAACUUGGUCAAUGGGGCAACUAUAGUAGAGAAACUCUCCAUAAAUCUUCUAU
rnacentral:lncRNA from 1 species